rnacentral:rRNA from 1 species
GAUGAACGCUAGCGAUAGGCUUAACACAUGCAAGUCGAGGGGCAGCAUGGUCUUAGCUUGCUAAGACUGAUGGCGACCGGCGCACGGGUGCGUAACGCGUAUGCAACUUGCCUCACAGAGGGGGAUAACCCGUCGAAAGACGGACUAAUACCGCGUACACUCCAUCUUGGGCAUCCAAGGUAGAGGAAAUGAAAUUCGCUGUGAGAUAGGCAUGCGUCCCAUUAGCUAGUUGGUGAGGUAACGGCUCACCAAGGCGACGAUGGGUAGGGGAACUGAGAGGUUGAACCCCCACACUGGUACUGAGACACGGACCAGACUCCUACGGGAGGCAGCAGUGAGGAAGAUUGGUCAAUGGGCGAGAGCCUGAACCAGCCAAGUCGCGUGAAGGAUGACUGUCUUAUGGAUUGUAAACUUCUUUUAUACGGGAAUAACAAGAGUCACGUGUGACUCCCUGCAUGUACCGUAUGAAUAAGCAUCGGCUAACUCCGUG